UAUAUAUAUGUAUCCUGUGGUAUUAAUAUGAGUGUGUAUUUUUUCUUUCUUUAUUCUUUAGUGGAGCUCGAGAUCCUGUUUACUGUGGACUAGCUGUGUGUGACGCCCUGUUUUUGUUUCCAUUAAAAAAAAAGCAUCAUCUAUUGCCUGGAUUUUUGCCUGCAAUUGCUCCUGCUACGUUCGCUUAAUCAAGAUGCCUUUUCAUCUGAUAAAAUUCAUAAUGCACGGGGACAUUGCGGUUGUCCCAAGUGGAUGGUAUGAUGAUGGGAUGGUUUUCUGGCCCAACUAUAAAAACACCGACAGAAUUAAAAGGGCCGCUUUAAAUGAGGAGCAGCAUGAGUCACACUGGCCAAGAUUUGACGUUUCUGUUGUCCGAACUUGUGACAACUACAAAGACGCAUUAAAAAUAAUGCAGCAAUAUGGAAAGGGCUGCGACACCUCAGACCUGCAAUCUGAGGCAGAGAAUGAGGAGCUGCCAGAAAAAAGGAGCAGGAAGCCAGUCCAUCGUCUCGGGGACUCGGAUGAUAGCGAAGAAGACCCGGGAAAUAGUGACCUCGCAUCUCUGGGGUCGGCAAGCCAAUUGCACAGGCAGA